ensembl:lncRNA
GAAAAGCGCAAGCGCCUCCGCGCUGUGGUGACGUCGCGGUGCUGGGUGCUGUCGUAAAGGGCCGCGCCAGCAGAAGAGGAAAUGAGUCCCCCGAGCCUCUUAAAGGGACCGCGCAGCCCCUAGCGGGGGAGGAGGCCUCGCCAUGCUGAGCUGCCCCCUGCUGGGCUCCCUGCGCCUGUGCCUGGAGCGUCGCCCGCCCGUCGUCUGCUUCUGCCUCUGCCUCUUCUCAUUGGCUGUCACCUUCACCGCCUUUGCCACCUACAUCCAAUCGCACGAGGUCAGGGAUGCUGACGUCACCCAGGACUGGAACUCGUUCCUGGAGUCCCUGAGCCACCUGAGCUUCUGCACCGACAACGGGACGUGGGGGGGGGCAACAACUCCAGCCCCCACCCCCAGGGCUGCCCCGCUUUCACCCGGGGGCCCCCCGGCCCUCUCGGUCCUGGUGGGCCUAACCUUCAACCUCCCUGUGGGGGGGCAACCCAACACCACCCGCCUGGCCCUGACAGUCACCGGCCACCAGCUGGGACUUGGGGGUGAGUGGGGGCUGGCGUGUCCCCCCUGGGGGCAUUCCCCUCCCCCCCGCCCUGUCCC